UACGAAGGGGGCUAGCGUUGCUCGGAAUCACUGGGCGUAAAGGGUGCGUAGGCGGGUCUUUAAGUCAGGGGUGAAAUCCUGGAGCUCAACUCCAGAACUGCCUUUGAUACUGAGGAUCUUGAGUUCGGGAGAGGUGAGUGGAACUGCGAGUGUAGAGGUGAAAUUCGUAGAUAUUCGCAAGAACACCAGUGGCGAAGGCGGCUCACUGGCCCGGAACUGACGCUGAGGUGCGAAAGCGUGGGAGCAA
rnacentral:rRNA from 1 species